rnacentral:lncRNA from 1 species
GUGUUGCUUGGUUCAACUUGUAACUAAAAUUUAAAUAACUCAAAGGUGAAUUUUUCAACAUUCAGAUAAAACGACUUAACAUUUUUGUGUAAAUCUGAAGUAGUUAAUAUAACCUUACCAGUGUGACUUAUUAUUACACAACUGCUCAUAUUCGAUGACAGAAACCCAACUGGUAAACGAUUUAAUUGAAACUCUUAGGAACAUAUAUAAAUAUUCAAACCUUUAAAGGGAUUUUUAUUUCAAUAAAAUGAUUAGAACGCAACCGAAAACAAAUUACAAAACCAACAACAAAACUAAUACACGGCACGUUUCAUUUGUGCCAUAAAAAUCUUAGAUUAUGUAUGGUUGUUCAGCGUUGACAUUUUACGAAAUAUGCGCGUACAUGACAAAGACGUGAAGAUGAUACGAUGAAAAACUAACGCGAGUGAAUGGUGUGUUUACACGUUUCAAAUGUUUUUAAUGAAAAGUAAGAUGAACUAAUCGUUUCUACACUAUAACCUCGUGGAUAACAAAAGACGCUUACAAAAUCAAUUAAAUGUUGGUGUUUAACGCCAUUUAUAGCACUAUAUGCUAUCUCGUGGUGUUUAGCGCCAUUUAUAGCACUAUAUGCUCUCUCGUUGCGUUUAACGCCAUUUAUAGCACUAUAUGCUCUCUCGUGGCAGUGCCUAACGCCAUUUAUAGCACUACAUGUAUAUGCUCUCUCGUGAUAGUGCCUAACGCCAUUUAUAGCACUAUAUUCUCUCUCGUGGUGUUUAACGCCAUUUAUAGCACUAUAUGCUCUCUCGUGGCAGUGCCUAACGCCAUUUAUAGCACUAUAUGUUCUCUCGUGGCAGUGCCUAACGCCAUUUAUAGCACUGUAUGCUCUCUCGUGGCAGUGCCUAACGCCAUUUAUAGCACUAUAUGCUCUCAAGUGGCAGUGCCUCACGCCAUUUAUAGCAAUAUAUGCUCUCUCGUGGCAGUGCCUAACGCCAUUUAUAGCACUAUAUGCUCUCUCGUGGUAUUUAACGCCAUUUAUAGCACUAUAUGCUCUCUCGUGACAGUGCCUAACGCCAUUUAUAGCACUAUAUGCUCUCGUGGCAGUGCCUAACGCCAUUUAUACUAUAGCUCUAUCGUGCAGUCUACGAUUAUAGCACUAUAUCUCUCGUGGCAGUGCCUAACGCCAUUUAUAGCACUAUAUGCUCUCUCGUGGAUAGUUGCCUAACGCCAUUUAUAGCACUAUAUGCUCUCUCGUGGCAGUGCCUAACGCCAUUUAUAGCACUAUAUGCUCUCUCGUGGCAGUGCCUAACGCCAUUUAUAGCACUAUUUGCUCUCUCGUG